GCAGAGCAAUGGAAGUACGCACGCAUGAAGACACGGUGGAUUCUGGAUUGGACUUGAUCUUUUGUGAUGCUGAGCUGAACUGCCUUGACUCCCCUCCCUUAUUAACUUCUUGAAGAAAAGAGAUGAGGUCAUUGGAAAGGACCUCCUUGGACACUUCCAACUAUUGCAAAGCUGUCUUGUACAGUCCCUAAGGGGCAAACCUGUUCUAAAACCAGUUCAAGUGUUUGUUCUGCACUGGAAGGCUCUUCCAGAUCUUCACCCACUGUCAUGGACAGAAACCAGCUUCUAAUUCCCAGGUGACUGCAGAAAGGUUUGUGUCAGCACGAUGGAGAGAAGCAGCCUGGAGGGCAAGAACAAGAAGCUGGAGGCUCCAGCAAGUGCACAGGAGCUUGUGUGUUUAGCCCUACCACCAAACAUCCAACCACAGCUGGGUUAAUAUUUCUGUGCCUAAUGUGCUAUGCCAUGUGGACUUGAAAACACAUUUGGAGCCUGCUGCAGGAUCCUUACAGGUAAUCUUUAUUGAGGCAUCUGGACUUACUGGAACAUUGAAAGGUAAAUUGGGCAUGGAUAGUCAGAAGGGCACUCAAAGAUCUUGAUGCUUUUGUAGCUGCCAUCAUCAUUAGAAACAACACUAAAGCAUAAGGAGGAAAAUGCACUAAAGAAAGAACACAACCAUAAAACUGAAUUUAAAUAGUAUGACCUAAAUUUUCCAUGACUGGUUUCCUUAGUAUCUCUUUAAUUGCUUUUAUGCCCUGCUGAAUAAGUGGACCAGAGAGUCCUGUUUAUUUUUAUGUGAUAGCUCUUUCUUAGACCUGGAUUUCUGGGCACGAACCGCAGUGGCAUAGCUACUGCCACCACUGAUGUUAUAAUAAACGAACAAGCUUUGUGAGCUUAGAUGUUUACAGAACACUGUCUGUCACAUCUCCAGUUCACAGCACACUAAGCGUGCAGCAAUUGUGAAGGCUUCUCAUACCAUAGAGCAUUUAUUAAACACUGCUUGAACAUUAAAGGCAGGGAGAUGAUACCACUGAUGAAUUUAGGCUUUGUUUUGCUCACUGAAUUCUGGUGGUAAGAUUAUUUACUUUUUUGUGCUAUUCAAAAGCAGUGGGGAGGUAAUUAUUUUUCUGUGGACUUCUCCAGUGAUGUUGAGCAGUGCUGUACGAUUAUAUGGGUCGUGCUUUGUUAAUUAUGACCACUUAGAAAAAAUCACAUUGCAUUGUUUCUGGGCUGAGUGGGUGAGUGCAUGAGCGUUUCCAGAACAAAUACCCAGCUGCAUAACUCUAAGGGCACGUCCACAUCACACAAUAGAGUGUGGGGCAGCAAGUCCUCAGUUAAUGCCGACCAAACCAGCUCCAAAACUGGAAGCAGCAGGCCUGUGCUAGCAUAGUGCUACAUUUUUGCAGUUAAGCAGGGAUUAUUAGCGAGAAUGCAGCUUUGUGGGAACAGAGCUAUGCAGCUUUCAGAGCUGGGUCUGGUAUGGCUGCGGAGGCAAUUCCUGUGCUAUCUGGAUGUACCGGUGUGGCCAGUGGGAGCUCACAACCUUCUGUACCGUGCUAGAAGGUACUGGUGCAUCUAUAAAUAAUCUCUUUGGUUGUUGCUGUAGUAUCAUAUUUGUUUUAUGAGUCUGGUAGCCCACGGGUGGAUCAGGACUCCCACGUGCAUCGUAGCAGUCUGAUGCUGCACAGCAAUGCAAUUGAUAUCAUGAAGACAUCAAUCCUAGUUGCUAGGAGCUCUUGUGCCAGGAUAAAUCUCACCAGGCUAUUCCUGGAAAGUGAAUGCAAAAUAUGCAUGAGGAGUUUAAAGCAAAUCAAAAGGCCACUAAACACGCAGAGCUUUUGUUUACACAACUCUCGAAGCUUUUUCUGUGUGACUUAAUGUAGACACCACAGCUACCUCUGCAAAGCCGAGCUUGGAAAAGAUGACUGUCCUACUUUGUCUGCCUACGUGAAACUACUUUCCUGGCCUCAGAAAUCAGUUUUGCUAUGGGUGAUUUUUAGGCUGGGUUGAAUCCUCAGCCAAUAAAAACUGUCAGCUGGAUUUCUUUUGAUCCGCAAGACUCUCAUGAUGUUACGGCAAUUUACACCACUUGAAAAUGUGGCUUAGGCACACGUUAAUAAAAAUCCCAGCUGCUUGAUGUGGAGCCUGCACAGAGCAUUUGCAACCGGAAACCCUGUGUCAAAGCAGUUAUGUUCCAGACCCGUCCCUUGGAGAACAUUCACAAGGUGAAGAGGAGGCAGGCUGCCAAGCCUGACCUUCUUUCAGUUCAGCUCCCUUGGAGACAUCAAUCUGGGUUUCUGCUUCUGGGAUUCACUUUCCUUACAAACAGUUGUUCAUUCCUAGGUUUACCCAGAAGCUACAGAGCUCUUAUUUGUGAUCAGAGCUUUUGUUUGUGAUUAGCAAGCAAAGUUUAAUCCCCACUUCCUGCUCUAGUAAUAACAAACCAUCCGCUCUUCUCCACAGCAGCAAUG